GACGAACGCUGGCGGCGUGCCUAAUACACGCCAGUUGAGCGCUGAAGGUUGGUACUUGUACCAACUGGAUGAGCAGCGAACGGGUGAGUAACGCGUGGGGAAUCUGCCUUUGAGCGGGGGACAACAUUUGGAAACGAAUGCUAAUACCGCAUAAAAACUUUAAACACAAGUUUUAAGUUUGAAAGAUGCAAUUGCAUCACUCAAAGAUGAUCCCGCGUUGUAUUAGCUAGUUGGUGAGGUAAAGGCUCACCAAGGCGAUGAUACAUAGCCGACCUGAGAGGGUGAUCGGCCACAUUGGGACUGAGACACGGCCCAAACUCCUACGGGAGGCAGCAGUAGGGAAUCUUCGGCAAUGGACGAAAGUCUGACCGAGCAACGCCGCAUGAGUGAAGAAGGUUUUCGGAUCGUAAAACUCUGUUGGUAGAGAAGAACGUUGGUGAGAGUGGAAAGCUCAUCAAGUGACGGUAACUACCCAGAAAGGGACGGCUAACUACGUG
rnacentral:rRNA from 1 species